rnacentral:rRNA from 1 species
GUCGUACGCUUCUUUUUCCACCGGAGCUUGCUCCACCGGAAAAAGAGGAGUGGCGAACGGGUGAGUAACACGUGGGUAACCUGCCCAUCAGAAGGGGAUAACACUUGGAAACAGGUGCUAAUACCGUAUAACAAUCGAAACCGCAUGGUUUUGAUUUGAAAGGCGCUUUCGGGUGUCGCUGAUGGAUGGACCCGCGGUGCAUUAGCUAGUUGGUGAGGUAACGGCUCACCAAGGCCACGAUGCAUAGCCGACCUGAGAGGGUGAUCGGCCACAUUGGGACUGAGACACGGCCCAAACUCCUACGGGAGGCAGCAGUAGGGAAUCUUCGGCAAUGGACGAAAGUCUGACCGAGCAACGCCGCGUGAGUGAAGAAGGUUUUCGGAUCGUAAAACUCUGUUGUUAGAGAAGAACAAGGAUGAGAGUAACUGUUCAUCCCUUGACGGUAUCUAACCAGAAAGCCACGGCUAACUACGUGCCAGCAGCCGCGGUAAUACGUAGGUGGCAAGCGUUGUCCGGAUUUAUUGGGCGUAAAGCGAGCGCAGGCGGUUUCUUAAGUCUGAUGUGAAAGCCCCCGGCUCAACCGGGGAGGGUCAUUGGAAACUGGGAGACUUGAGUGCAGAAGAGGAGAGUGGAAUUCCAUGUGUAGCGGUGAAAUGCGUAGAUAUAUGGAGGAACACCAGUGGCGAAGGCGGCUCUCUGGUCUGUAACUGACGCUGAGGCUCGAAAGCGUGGGGAGCAAACAGGAUUAGAUACCCUGGUAGUCCACGCCGUAAACGAUGAGUGCUAAGUGUUGGAGGGUUUCCGCCCUUCAGUGCUGCAGCUAACGCAUUAAGCACUCCGCCUGGGGAGUACGACCGCAAGGUUGAAACUCAAAGGAAUUGACGGGGGCCCGCACAAGCGGUGGAGCAUGUGGUUUAAUUCGAAGCAACGCGAAGAACCUUACCAGGUCUUGACAUCCUUUGACCACUCUAGAGAUAGAGCUUCCCCUUCGGGGGCAAAGUGAC